rnacentral:tRNA from 1 species
GGUAGUUCAGUGGUAGAGCACUUGCCUUGCAUGCAUGAGGCUUUGGGUUCGAUUCCUCAGCACCA